GCAGCGUUAGUCUAACGGUAUGAUUCUACUCAACCAAUCGCUUCGAGCGUACACGGUCUUUACCACAGGCGCGGAGCGCGCCGGGAGAGUGUCUAACUCUUUGGCCUGGUGAUAAGUAGAGAUGUAGGUUCGAAUCCUACUCGCUGCA